rnacentral:rRNA from 3 species
AACCAACAGGGAUUGCCUCAGUAACGGCGAGUGAAGCGGCAAAAGCUCAAAUUUUAAAGCUGACAUCUUCGGUGUCCGCGUUGUAAUUUUGUGAGGCAUCUCCGGGUAGGGCGCCGGCCUAAGUUCCUUGGAACAGGACGUCACAGAGGGUGAGAAUCCCGUGCUUGGCUGGCUGUCCCCGUCCAUGUGAGGUGUCUUCGACGAGUCGAGUUGUUUGGGAAUGCAGCUCAAAAUGGGUGGUAAAUUUCAUCUAAAGCUAAAUAUUGGUGGGAGACCGAUAGCGCACAAGUAGAGUGAUCGAAAGAUGAAAAGCACUUUGAAAAUAGAGUUAAAAAGUACGUGAAAUUGUUGAAAGGGAAGCGCUUGAGACCAGACUUCGGUAAGGGGUGAUCAGCCGUCCUUUUGGGCGGUGCACUUGCCCCCCUCCGGGCCAGCAUCGGUUGAGGCGGCGGGAUAAAGGUCCCGGGAAUGUGGCUCCUUCACGGGAGUGUUAUAGCCCGGGUGAAUGCCGCCAGCUUCGACCGAGGACCGCACCCGCAAGGGUUAGGAUGCUUGGCAUAAUGGUCUUCAGCGA